AGAGUUUGAUCAUGGCUCAGAUUGAACGCUGGCGGCAUGCUUUACACAUGCAAGUCGAACGGCAGCACGGGGGCAACCCUGGUGGCGAGUGGCGAACGGGUGAGUAAUGCAUCGGAACGUAUCUUCAAGUGGGGGAUAACGCACCGAAAGGUGUGCUAAUACCGCAUAAUCUCUACGGAGAAAAGCAGGGGAUCGCAAGACCUUGCGCUUUUGGAGCGGCCGAUGUCUGAUUAGCUAGUUGGUGAGGUAAAGGCUUACCAAGGCUUCGAUCAGUAGCUGGUCUGAGAGGACGACCAGCCACACUGGGACUGAGACACGGCCCAGACUCCUACGGGAGGCAGCAGUGGGGAAUUUUGGACAAUGGGGGAAACCCUGAUCCAGCCAUGCCGCGUGAGUGAAGAAGGCCUUCGGGUUGUAAAGCUCUUUCAGCCGGAACGAAACGGUCACGGCUAAUACCUGUGAUCACUGACGGUACCGGAAGAAGAAGCACCGGCUAACUACGUGCCAGCAGCCGCGGUAAUACGUAGGGUGCGAGCGUUAAUCGGAAUUACUGGGCGUAAAGCGUGCGCAGGCGGUUUUGUAAGUCAGAUGUGAAAUCCCCGGGCUUAACCUGGGAACUGCGUUUGAAACUACAAGGCUAGAGUGUAGCAGAGGGGGGUGGAAUUCCACGUGUAGCAGUGAAAUGCGUAGAGAUGUGGAGGAACACCGAUGGCGAAGGCAGCCCCCUGGGUUAACACUGACGCUCAGGCACGAAAGCGUGGGGAGCAAACAGGAUUAGAUACCCCGGUAGUCC
rnacentral:rRNA from 1 species